UCUUCAAAACCCUAGAUUUGAUUCGAGCUCUGCUCCCUCAAUCAUCCAUGGCGACUCCACCGUCUUCUUCAGCUCCGCCCUCCGCCUCCUCCCAAUUCACCUACUCCAACUCCCCCGCCGCCGCCUCGUCCUCCUCCUACUUCCCCAUGCCCUUCCACCUCCAGCAACCCCAAUACCCUGCCCCUUACGCCGCCCCUCCCGCCCCCGCCGUCGUCUACCCCGCGCCGGCCCCCGCCUACGCUCUCCCUCAGCAGUAUCAACAGGCGCAGCAGCUGUUUCAGAGAGACGCGCAGACGAUCACGCCGGAAGCUCUGGAGAGUGUGAAGGCUGCGCUUGCGAAUAGUGAGAUUGAGCACAAAGCUGAAGCUAAGAAGAAGGCGGUUCCUCGAAGGGCCGCCGGGCAGUCGUGGGAGGACCCCACCCUCGCAGAGUGGCCCGAAAAUGAUUAUCGCGUGUUUUGUGGUGAUUUGGGUAAUGAGGUGAAUGAUGAUGUUCUUUCGAAAGCAUUUUCACGAUUUCCUUCCUUCAAUAUGGCCAGGGUUGUCAGGGACAAGAGGACUGGCAAAACUAAGGGGUUUGGAUUUGUUAGCUUUGCUAACCCUUCAGACCUGGCUGGAGCACUCAAGGAAAUGAAUGGUAACAAAACAUUCCUCUUCAUGCAAGUAUGUGGGGAAUCGGCCUAUUAAACUGCGCAAGAGUAACUGGAGGGAGAGGAUAGAUUAUGACGCGGUAGAGAAACAAAAGAACUUCUCUCACAAGAAGCCUAAGCAUUCAAAGAAGAGUAUACUACACAAAUGAGUUUGGAGAAUCUGUAAAGAUGAAGGUGAAUAUGGAGAUCUGUGAAAUGAAGCAUCUGUUCCCUUUAUUCUUCAUUCCUCUACUCCAACUUGUCUUCCUGUGAUAAAUCAAGUUGCUGUAUGUUGAAAACAAAGAAUGGCUAGCGUACAGUACGAUAUUGAAUUGUGAGGGUUUACUCGGAUUGUACUCAACCAAUUCAUUAGUGUACAUUACUAACUUCAGCUUCUUUAUGAGUUUAUGUGAAACAAUAAUAAUGAACCUAAUUGAUGUUUGACAUGAGAUCUGUCUUGUCACU